UAGACCAUCUCGGAGUAAGGAUGAUAAUAUGGAUACAAUUCCAAAGUUAUGGGAUAGGCCUCAUUCAAACCAUUUUUCAACAUUAUGCUUAGUGGAUGUGAUGAGAGUCCAUCCACCUAAGCCAAUGAUAGAUUUUAGGGAAAAGGAGCACCAUCCCUACAAUUUUGAAUUUGACGUUCCAAAAGAGCAUAUGUGAACCCCAC
rnacentral:lncRNA from 1 species